CAGAAGCAAAAUACAAUGUUUUGAAUAUCUACUAAUUAGUUGGUGGAUGGAUAAGUUACCUUCUAAGUGUCUUUAUCAUCCAGUGUCUUUUUGCUAAUUUAGAUAAGACUAGAUUCUAUACCUACAUUGUCUGAUUUAUUAGCCACUAGCAUAUGAUGAUUUAAAUUUAAUAAAAUUCAAACUUUGGUUCUUCAGUCACCUAACCACACGUCCAGUGCUAAGUGCCACACAUGGACAGUGGUUACCAUUUUGGACACAUAAAUACAGAACAUUUCCAUCAUUGCAGAAAAUGUUUUUUUUACAAUGCCCAAAGAGAAAAUAGGGACAAAAUAAAAGUAUUCAAUUAACUUAUAAACUCUUAGAUUCUACUGCCAUAGUUAAAGAAAAUGGUUUUUCAUAUAAAAAUUAAUACAGCCCUUUUUAAAGUCACUGGAAUAAUCAGAACCCCAUUCUUUGAAAUUACUUUUCAAUAUAUUUUUAAACAGAUGCUCAGCACUUUACUUUUCAAGUAACAUAAUUAAAUCAUUUUAUAAAUCAUAACAGUAUCUUCAGGCUUUUUCCCCCUUUUUUGUAGUCUUUUCAAAUUGAUGAUACAUAGUUCAUCUGCAGGUAGAACAGAAACCAGUGAAUUCUUUAUUUACAAAUAAAAACUGUUAAACAUUUAUCCUUCUCUUCUGUUUUUUUAAUUAUAUAUAGAUCUAAUGAAAGUGGAAAAGUUUUUUUGUUUAUCUCUCCCUUAAAGGUACAUCAAGAUCCAAAUUAUUUCUUGGGUUUUCUUUUUUGGGAGGGUUCUUCAUAGUUUCUUGCUCUUAAUAACUUGGAUUAUGAAUCACAUUCAGUUUCAUGUAUGAGGCAAGCAUUUUAUUCUGGUGACUUAAUGAAACCUUUUAGUAUUUACUUCUUAACAUAAUGAAAAGGAUGUAUAUGGAUGCAUCUUUAAAUUUUUAAAUGAAAAUAAAGAGACUAAUAAUUCUCUUGAGUCAGCUUGGUGCUUAGUUAAAUACUAAAACUAUCGUUAGGAAGUCAGGAUGCUUUCCUCUCCCUUUUUAAAUGUUUUAAAUCAGGCAACAGACUCAACCCAGUAGUGUCAAAUUCCAAGCAAAUUAUGAAAUUCUUAUUGUUCAGUACAGCUGGGUAAAAGGUGUGAUUUGAGGGUUUUGGUGUGUUUUUUUUUUCUUGUUGGCCUAAUUUAAUGUGUGUACCACAGAGACUCAUGUUAGUUAAGAGAAAUUUUAAUUAUGCUUGAAAUAAAUAGUAUUUUAAUAUAAAUACAGGAAAUGACUGUACACAAAUGCCAAUCAAUGAUUUAAGGCCUUCAAAAUUGUUUUAAUAGUAGCCUUUUGUGUUUUAAUAACCUUAGUUAUUUAAAAUUUAGAUGCACUAAAAUGUCAUUGCCGUUACUAACUUUGCUGUGUACAGGUUAUGUAUAAUUCAGAAUGCUUUGCACUUAGAGGAAUAAUUUGUGGGUUUAUCUUGUUUUGCAAGUUUUCAUGUUUUGACAAUUGCCCCACCAUUUAUACACCCAAUUUUUGGUUGUAUAAUAAAUGGUAAAAUUCAAACAUACCUAAUAAUUUAAUAAUUUGCCUUAUUUUGAUUAAUAAAUUCUGUCAAAGAUUUGAAGAUAGAAAAAGGCUUUUUUUUCCUUAAGUAUUUUUUACACUUUUCAGAUGAGCUGGAAAACACCUUAGUACAUUAGAGUUGGAGUUGUAUUGAUUACAGUCCCAGCUCUAAAGCCUUAUACUCAUGUCUUAAGUAUUAUUGAUUGUUCUAUGAAUUGUUGUUAGUUUCCUAUUUGGCAUCAUAGUUACCCACCUUGCAGCUUAGCUUUUACAAAAAGGAUAUUACUAGCUGUAUUCUUAUUUCUGGUUGACUAUUGAAUUUAUAAUUUAAUGACUUUUAAUUUAAUGACUUUUAAUUCUUUGUCAAUGUAAUCCAAAAAUGAAAUCCCCUUAGGACUCUAAAUUUCUCACUUCACAAAUGGAAUCAAUACAGAAAUAGCAACAUUGUACAUAAUACCAUCCAAGGAUUUUUCCAUGUGUUUACCAAGUUUACCAACCAUUUACUGUAUAUCAGAUUGGUGGGUUUUCUUAACUGAUUUUCCAAGGUGAAUGACUUGUUAGCCUCAGUAAGAAAUUUUCACUAAAUCACAAAAACAUAAGGUCCAAUAACCACCAAAAGACAGAUUUUUAAUUUUUUUGAAAUCUUAUAUUUCCUUUUGAUAUCACUUAUUCAUUUUAAUUUUAUGACUGCCAACUUGUUAUGGUAUUAAUUAUAUGUGUAUGUUUAUAUGUAUGCAUAUAAUAUAUGUAUAUGAAGAAUAAAGUUAAGAUUUGGUCAAACUAUAUUUUCCCAUUCAAGUACAAAAAUGUUUUCAAGGCUGCAAAAAGUGUACAGUUGUUAAACAAGUUGUAAAUAAAGACUUGUAUAAAAAUUCAA
rnacentral:lncRNA from 1 species